UUGAAAACAGCAGCCAUAACCCAUACCCAAAUAUUAGAAACCCCAGCUUAUUAAUGAGGCUUGAGCUGAUUGAAUCAAUCCAUAACAACAACUGACACUUAAUUAUUAACCAGCUCAAAUAGAAAACAGAUUUAAAACUACUAAUCUUUGUUGAAAGAAGCAAGAGCACAGGAUGAAUCAACAACCAAUUCAGACUUUGAUACAACAAGUUUGGCAGUUCACAUCAAUACACGAAUAAAGAAUCUAACUUGCAGAAAACAUAACUAAAGAAGCUACAGCUAAAACAUAGACGAAUAAACACAUGCUUUAAACUUUUUUUCAUUUCAUUGCUUCAGAUCUACAUUCACAACUAAUGGAGCUUAAAAUGUGUACCCGGGAAAAGCAAAAUAAGAGGAAGGCAGGGAAUCAGCAAUAGCAAAAUAGUGUCAAACAGAAGAAAUCAGCUCAAACCAAGCUUGAAUGACCAAAUUUAAAACUCAAAAUAACCCUAGGAGCUUUUAAAACCCUCAUAUUCUAAUCACAGGAAUACUUAAGCCAUUUUCAACUCAAAUAAUAUAGAGAUCUGAUUGAGAACUUGGAAACUUCAAAAUCACAAAAGAAAUUUCAAUGGAAUGGUGUUUUACUAAAGUUUUUCAGUUCUUU
rnacentral:lncRNA from 1 species